CUUAUCAAGAAAGAUGGAGGGAUUAGGCCCUAUGAAAUCUUAGCAACCCAGAAAGGCUGGGUGCUAAAUCCUAGUUCACUAAAUAAGUGAACAGAGAUGAG
rnacentral:ncRNA from 1 species